rnacentral:rRNA from 1 species
AACCUUACUACAUCAGGGUCUUUCACAGUAGACUCUAUGUACCAUGCACUCACACAUUCUGAGGUACCAACGAGUAAUAAUAAGAAAAUUUGGAAGUCUAAAAUUCCACUAAAAGUGAAAAUCUCCGUGUGGUAUCUCCGUAGGGGAGUUGUGUUAAUCAAAGACAACCUCGCACGGCGAAACCGGCGAGGGAGUAAGAAGUGUUCUUUUUGUACUCAUGACGAGACAAUCAAACACCUCUUUUUCCAAUGCAAGUUUGCACGUUCUACGUGGUCAGUCACCCAAAUAGCGUCAAAUUUGUAUCCGCUCACAAGUGUUGCCAAUAUUUUUGGUCAUUGGUUGGACGGUAUUACAAAUAGGUUCAAAACGCUAAUAAGGGUGGGAGCACAUGCCUUAAUUUGGUCGCUUUGGCUAUGUAGAAAUGAUUUGGAUUUUAAUGAAAAAAAUGCUUCUCCUCUACAGGUUAUUUUCCGGUGUACGCACUCGCUACGUAUGUGGUCUAUGCUACAACGGCCGGAGUAUCAACCACUGUUCAUGGUGGUGUGUACGCGAUUGGAGCAGGUGGCUACAAAUGUUUUUUCUCAACAUGGGUGGCAGCAUAACCUACAGAUCGAUCCACCACCUUCUUCGACAUAG